rnacentral:rRNA from 1 species
AGAGUUUGAUCCUGGCUCAGGAUGAACGCUAGCGGCGUGCCUUAAGCAUGCAAGUGGAACGGUCCGCCUUCCGCAAGGGAGGCGAGAUAGUCGCAGACGGGUGAGUAAUACAUAGGAAUCUACCCUUUGGUGGGGAACAACUUGGCGAAAGCCGGGCUAAUACCGCAUAAGAUCGCAAGAUGAAAGGGCGUAACUGCCCGCCGAAGGAGGAGCCUAUGGCCUAUCAGCUAGUUGGUGGGGUAAAGGCCUACCAAGGCGAUGACGGGUAGCUGGACUGAGAGGUCGGUCAGCCACAAUAGUACUGAGAUACGGACUAUACAUCUACGGAUGGCAGCAACUGGGAAUAUUGCGCAAUGGGCGAAAGCCUGACGCAGCGACGCCGCGUGGAGGAUGACGGCCUUCGGGUUGUAAACUCCUUUUGACAGGGAAGCCACGUGCAGUUUCAUGCACGUGGGGCGGUACCUGUAGAAUAAGCACCUGCUAACCACGUGCCAGCAGCCGCGGUAAUACGUGGGGUGCAAGCGUUAUCCGGAUUUACUGGGCGUAAAGAGUUCGUAGGCGUUUUGCUAGGGGGUGCUGGAACUGAUGGUGUAGCAGUGAAAUGCGUUGAUAUCAUCAGGAACACCAAGGGCGAAGGCAGGCACCUGGGGCUAUACUGACGCUGAGGAACGAAAGCUAGGGGAGCGAAAGGGAUUAGAGACCCCUGUAGUCCUAGCCGUAAACCAUGCCCGCUUGAUCCUCGACCGGCUUGCCGGAUAAGGGUCGGAGCUAACGCGUGAAGCGGGCCGCCUGGGGAGUACGGCCGCAAGGCUAAAACUCAAAGGAAUUGACGGGAGAGUGCACAACCAGGGGAGCAUGUGGUUCAAUUCGAUACGAAGCGAAGGACCUUACCCAGAUUUGACAUGCAAUCGUACAUUCGUCCGGAAACGGAUGGAAAUCCGCAAGGAUGAUUGCACAGCUGCUGCAUGGCUGUCGUCAGCUCGUGCCGUGGGGUGUCGACUUAAGUGUCGAAACGAGCGCAACCCUUAUCGUAUGUUCGAUAGUCAUACGAAACUGCCUUGCCUAUAGCGGGGAGGAAGGAGGGGAUGACGUCAAGUCAGCAUGGCGCUUAUGUCUGGGGCCACACACAUCCUACAAUGGAUAGUAACAAUGGGUUGCGAAGCCGUAAGGCGGAGCUAAUCCCAUCAAACCUAUCCUCAGUUCAGAUUGAGGUCUGCAAUUCGACCUCAUGAAGAUGGACUUGGUAGUAAUCGCGGAUCAGCAGGCCGCGGUGAAUACGUUCUCACUCUUUGUACACACCGCCCAUCACGUCAGCAAAGUCGGCAGCACCUGAAAUUCUGAGUUUCUCGGGACAAGGGUGAGGUCGGCGAUGAGGACGAAGUUGUAACAAGGUAUCCCUAGCUGAAGCUGGGGAUG